UACGUAGGUGGCAAGCGUUGUCCGGAUUUACUGGGCGUAAAGAGCGCGCAGGCGGUCGGAUUAGUCGCGUGUGAAAGCCCCCGGCUCAACUGGGGAGGGUCAUUCGAUACUGUUCGACUCGAAGGCAGGAGAGGGAAGUGGAAUUCCCGGUGUAGUGGUGAAAUGCGUAGAUAUCGGGAGGAACACCCGUGGCGAAGGCGGCUCUCUGGGACGGUACUGACGCUGAGACGCGAAAGCGUGGGGAGCGAACAGG
rnacentral:rRNA from 1 species